UACAGAGGGUGCAAGCGUUGAUCGGAAUUAUUGGGCGUAAAGCGUGCGUAGGCGGUUAUUUAAGUCAGGUGUGAAAGCCCCGGGCUCAACCUGGGAAUUGCAUUUGAGACUGAAUAGCUAGGGUGCGGAAGAGGGAAGCGGAAUUUCCGGUGUAGCGGUGAAAUGCGUAGAUAUCGGAAGGAACACCAGUGGCGAAAGCGGCUUCCUGGUCCAGCACCGACGUUCAGGCACGAAAGCGUGGGGAGCAAACAGG
rnacentral:rRNA from 1 species